rnacentral:rRNA from 1 species
GAUGAACGCUGGCGGCGUGCCUAAUACAUGCAAGUCGAGCGAAUGGAUUAAGAGCUUGCUCUUAUGAAGUUAGCGGCGGACGGGUGAGUAACACGUGAGUAACCUGCCCAUAAGACUGGAUAACUCCGGGAAACCGGGGCUAAUACCGGAUAACAUUUUGCACCGCCUGGUUCGAAAUUGAAAGGCGGCUUCGGCUGUCACUUAUGGAUGGACCCGCGUCGCAUUAGCUAGUUGGUGGGGUAACGGCUCACCAAGGCAACGAUGCGUAGCCGACCUGAGAGGGUGAUCGGCCACACUGGGACUGAGACACGGCCCAGACUCCUACGGGAGGCAGCAGUAGGGAAUCUUCCGCAAUGGACGAAAGUCUGACGGAGCAACGCCGCGUGAGUGAUGAAGGCUUUCGGGUCGUAAAACUCUGUUGUUAGGGAAGAACAAGUGCUAGUUGAAUAAGCUGGCACCUUGACGGUACCUAACCAGAAAGCCACGGCUAACUACGUGCCAGCCGCCGCGGUAA